CACCGCCCGUCGCUACUACCGA
rnacentral:ncRNA from 2 species